GCGCAGUGGUUAGCGGUCUUAGAAGACCCUGGUUCUUGGCUGGGGGACCUUUCUGUGUGGAGUUUGCCUGGUGCAUGCGUGGGUUUUCUCCAGGGACUCCGGCUUCCUCCAGCCAUCCAAAAGCAUGCUUCAUAGGUUAAUUGGUGACUCUAAAUUGUCCCUAGUUGUGAAUGAGAGUGUGUGUGGUGGGGGGGGGGGGCUGUGAUUGUGGUCCUACGACAGACUGGUGACCUGACCAGGCUGGAUCCUGCCUUCACCCCUGAGUGGCCAUGAUAGGCUCUGGCACCCCCGUGACCCUGAAAGGGACAAAACGGUUUAGAAAAUGGAUGGAUGAUAAGAGAGACAUUUAAGAUGAAUCAUUAAAUGGUACAUUUAAUUUUUUUUCAUUGUUAAACUACUAAGAAGCUUGAAGCACAAAAGGGUCCCCACCAAAGGUCAAUCGAGUGAAGAAAAGAGCAUUUUGAAACAGAGGUUUCCUGACAGCUGAUGGGAUGAAACUGUCACAGACCAAUCAGUGCUGGAGCGUGACGGCAUAAUCCCACAUCUGUAAAUGAAUUCAGAUCCAUCAGAUGUAAACAUUGUUUUCAAUUUGUUGUGACAACAGAACCCGUUUCAGAGCAGAGCAGUUUAUAAUGAACUUCCAUCACGAAGGAAUAAACAAAUGUGUUUAAAAAGGAAAAAAAAAAACCUCUUAUAUUCAGAAAGAGACAGAGAUGAAGAAGUUCAGCAUAUUUUGGAAAUUUGUCCACAACAAUCCCAGAAUUUGCAAGGUACGCAUGCAUCACCAUGCUAGCAAUAACUGACAGGAAGGUCAUUUAGGAUUCUGUCUGCUGGUAUGAAAACAACAAGCUCCAGAUUGAUGCCAGCACGAUGGAGAUGUCAUGUUGAUGCCAGAGGUCAGAGCAGAAUGACCAGACUGGUUCCAGCUGAUAAAAAGACAACGGUGACGUAAAUAACCACUGGUUAGAACCGAGGUCUGCAGAAGAACAUCUCUGAACACACAUGUCCAACCUUGAGGCAGAUGGGAUACAGCUGCAGAAGAACACACCGGUUAGUUUUCAGCUUAGAACAGUAAAACUGAAGCUACAAUUCACAUAGGCUCACCAAAAUUGGAAAGUAGACGAUUGGAAAAACUUGCCCUGGUCUGAUGAGUCUCCAUUUCAGCUGCCACAAACUGAUAGCAGCCUAUGUGUUCACAAAUAAUUGGGAAGAGUUAAGCUUUUAGCUUAUAAACAAAAUUUCAAGCUUUAAGGGAAAAGGACAAAUAAUUCAGUCAUAGUUUAGUUUUCAUAGUUUUGUUUCUGUUAGUGCGUGAGUUGGACAGAACAUGUUCCAGAUCAGAUGAAUUCAUAAUGUUAAGAGCUUCACUGUUCUGACCUCAACCAAACUCAAUGAUUCUGUAGCCAGGCCUUCUCAUACCACAGCAGCGUCUAAACCAGACAUGGGCAAACUACGGCCCGCGGGCCAGAUCCGGCCCCGCCCUCAUGUUUGGUCCGGCCCGCUGAACAACAUCAGAGAGGCAUGAAUUUUUUUCCCGUCUGGCCGCAUAGAACGUGACUUUUUCUUCUCCCUUCUGCAGUCUGUGCCUGUAUCUGAACCCCCCAGAAUCUCUGUUAAAUAAAACAGAAUAUUGUUUUCUUUCUACAUAUUAUUUCACCUUUCACAGCUCGCUGAUUCUUUCAGAGCAAUUAUGAAGCUGCGUUUUUUCAAACAGCCUGUUCUGUGUCCUGAUUAGCUGGAGACCUUCUCAAUCAUGUGUGCAGAUCUGCUGAUCUGCAUAAAUCUUUGAUCACGAUCAGAUCUUUGUUUCAUUCUCUUAAACUGGACUUAUUUUUCUAUGACGGUUUGAACUUUGAGAGUUUAAACAAGAGAGAAAAAGAGUAAAAAUGGCCACGUUGUCAUGGUGCCCCUGCUCUCCUCUGCACCUCCUGAUUGGACCCAGCUGCAGCACUCAUCUCAUCAGCCACAGUCAGCUAUAUAGGAGGGGCCUGCUCCAGCAUUCUUCGCCAGUUCGUUACCUUACCUGGAUUUUUUCAUACCACGUGCUGCCCUGGGUCCAUCUUUCUCUCCUUGGUCAAGAAGCUCCACCAUCCACCCUGCUGCCAACUCCACCCUACCCACCACCUGGAUCUUCGCUCCGUCAUCUGAACUCACUCGGAUCCUCCUCUGCCUCUUCCUGCUGCUGCACUCCAGCUUCAGUGCCCAAACUCCCAAGGACAAUAAAACUAAUUUCUCUUUA